GACGAACGCUGGCGGCGUGCCUAAUACAUGCAAGUUGAGCGCUGAAGGUUGGUACUUGUACCAACUGGAUGAGCAGCGAACGGGUGAGUAACGCGUGGGGAAUCUGCCUUUGAGCGGGGGACAACAUUUGGAAACGAAUGCUAAUACCGCAUAAAAACUUUAAACACAAGUUUUAAGUUUGAAAGAUGCAAUUGCAUCACUCAAAGAUGAUCCCGCGUUGUAUUAGCUAGUUGGUGAGGUAAAGGCUCACCAAGGCGAUGAUACAUAGCCGACCUGAGAGGGUGAUCGGCAACAUUGGGACUGAGACACGGCCCAAACUCCUACGGGAGGCAGCAGUAGGGAAUCUUCGGCAAUGGACGAAAGUCUGACCGAGCAACGCCGCGUGAGUGAAGAAGGGUGUCGGAUCGUAAAACUCUGUUGGUAGAGAAGAACGUUGGUGAGAGUGGAAAGCUCAUCAAGUGACGGUAACUACCCAGAAAGGGACGGCUAACUACGUG
rnacentral:rRNA from 1 species